CCUCACGCGGGCGGGCUUUAGGACCCGGCCGGGCACGGCGGGCGGGGAAGGGGUCGCGCCGUGGGGGGGCGGGGGGAGAGCUCGGGCGCGCGUCCGGGAUCCUGAAGCGGCGGCGGCGGGGGCGACGCGAGCGAGAGGCCCCGGAGCGAGAGGCGCGGCAGGUGGAGGAGGAGCCCGAGCCUGGAUUCUCUAACCAUGUCACAGGUAGAGAAACGAGGGGGUUUGCUCCGGAAAUCUUCAGCAUCCAAAAAACCAUUGAAGGAAAAAGUCGUGUUGAUGUAUGAUGAAAUCUUCAUGGCGGAGGACCCCAGUAAGUGCACUCCUCGAUUUUGGGAGGAACUCUUCCUCAUGAAGGUGAAUUUAGAGUACCUGGAAGGCAAGCUGGAAUCUCUUGAUGGUGAGGAGUUAAUGAAGAUCAAGGACAAUAUUAAUUGCUUGUUUCAACGCUGCAUCCAGGCUUUGGGAGAAGAGCAUCCGAUUCGAGUUGUCAAUGCUUUACAGACCUUGUGUGCACUUAUUCGAGGAGUCCAUCAGAAGAAUAAAUCUACCUCUGGGUUUGACAUUAUCAACAUGUUGAUGGGCUUUGACAAGGCGGAGCUGUGCAUGAAGAACUUGAUGGAGAGCUUGGAUUCAUUGCUUUGCGCAGAAGGUUCUGAAAGUCUGAAGAGUUUAUGUUUGAAACUUCUUCUUUGCUUAGUGACUGUGACAGAUAACAUCAGUCAGAACACUAUCCUGGAGUAUGUAAUGAUCAACAGCAUAUUUGAAGCAAUUUUACAAAUACUUUCCCACCCUCCAAGUCGCAGGGAACAUGGGUAUGAUGCUGUUGUCCUCUUGGCAUUGCUGGUGAACUACAGAAAAUAUGAGUCUGUGAAUCCAUACAUUGUGAAACUAUCCAUUGUGGAUGAUGAGGCUACGCUCAAUGGAAUGGGACUGGUGAUUGCUCAGGCUUUAUCUGAGUAUAAUAGGCAGUAUAAAGACAAAGAAGAAGAACAUCAGAGCGGGUUUUUCUCUGCUUUAACAAAUAUGGUGGGCAGCAUGUUCAUAGCAGAUGCCCAUGAGAAGAUCUCAGUACAAACCAAUGAAGCUAUCCUUCUGGCACUUUACGAAGCUGUUCAUUUAAAUCGCAACUUCAUCACGGUGUUAGCCCAGAAUCACCCAGAAAUGGGCUUGGUGACAACCCCUGUCAGUCCUGCCCCAACAACUCCUGUCACACCACUUGGGACCACGCCACCCUCUUCUGAUGUUAUAAGUUCUGUGGAACUCCCACUGGAUGCAGAUGUACAGACCAGUAAUCUACUGAUAACCUUCCUGAAGUAUAGCUCAAUUGUCAUGCAGGACACCAAAGAUGAGCACCGACUUCACAGUGGCAAACUUUGUCUGAUUAUCCUUACUUGUAUUGCAGAGGAUCAGUAUGCUAAUGCAUUUUUGCACGAUGACAACAUGAAUUUUCGAGUAAACUUGCAUAGAAUGCCUAUGAGACACAGAAAGAAGGCAGCAGACAAGAACCUCCCCUGUCGCCCAUUAGUAUGUGCAGUAUUGGACUUGAUGGUAGAGUUUAUUGUAACACACAUGAUGAAGGAGUUUCCUAUGGAUCUCUAUGUACGCUGCAUUCAGGUAGUGCAUAAACUGCUUUGCUAUCAGAAGAAGUGUAGAGUACGCCUGCAUUACACCUGGCGGGAACUCUGGUCAGCUUUGAUAAAUUUGCUGAAGUUCCUUAUGUCAAAUGAGACCGUCCUUUUGGCAAAACACAACAUUUUUACCUUGGCCCUUAUGAUUGUGAACCUAUUCAAUAUGUUUAUUACAUACGGCGACACCUUCCUGCCCACCCCUAGCAGCUAUGAUGAGCUCUACUAUGAAAUUAUUCGCAUGCACCAGAGCUUUGACAAUCUGUACUCCAUGGUUCUGAGGCUUUCUACCAAUGCAGGCCAGUGGAAAGAAGCAGCUAGCAAGGUGACCCAUGCAUUGGUUAAUAUCAGGUGCUGGAGGUGGUGCGCACCAACUAUGACACCCUCACCCUGAAGCUGCAGGACGGCCUGGAUCAGUACGAGCGCUACUCGGAGCAGCACAAGGAAGCUGCCUUCUUCAAAGAGCUGGUCCGAUCCAUUAGCACCAACGUCCGGAGGAACUUGGCCUUCCACACGCUCAGCCAGGAAGUCCUGCUCAAGGAGUUCUCCACUAUCUCCUGAGACCACACUGCACUGACCGGACACUGACUGUCCUUACCCACCAGGGGGCUGUCCCCAAGGCUGGAGAAAACAGACACUGAGUCUGUCAGGAUGGCAUCAGAGAUUGUACAGCAGGGACCAGGAGGGGCUGACCAGGACUGUCCUAACGUGGGGAGGGCUGGGGGGGGCAUAGGGAGAAGCUGUCAAGAAUGUAGGAGCAGGGGCUGGAACCAUAGCACAGUGGGUAGGGCAUUUGCCUUGAACGCGGCUGACCUGAGUUUGAUCCCCAGCAUCCCAUAGGGUCCCCUGAGCACCGCCAGGAGUAAUUCCUGAGUGCAGAGCCAGGAGUAACCUCUGAGCAUUGCCGGGUGUGACCCAAAAAGCCAAAAAAAAAAAAAAAAGAAUGUGGGGGCUUCUAGAAUGUCUGCCUUGGCACUCCCACACAUUUCCAGUUGAAGUAACAAGUUGUAGCUACUGAUUAAUUUUUAGAAGCUGUUGGGACAGACCUUAGGGUGAAGCCAAGACCCUGAAGGUUGAUGACUUGUUUUCCCAAAGCUUCUGAAAACUCUCUUCGAUGCAGCUUCCUCUGGGUCGGAAUUGCGCUGAGCUGUCCCUCGAGGCCCCCUGUCCUGCCUUCAGGAGGACCCUGAGCUCAGGUGUCGGGCGUGGUGGGAGAGGGCACCUCUUUUCCUCUUUUCUAAACCCUGUGCUGACUUCUGGAAGGCAGGAGGUUAGAACCCACGGGGUGUGCUGCUGUCUGCCACCACUUUUUGGACUCAAUCCUCGGCCCCAGGAGCUUGCCACGGACCCCCUCAGCACUCCAGAGUCACCUCCAUAGCUUCUACUCAAGUCUGUUCUAAACUGUCUUUAAGGAUGCGUGUGAAAUAAACAUUGACGGGUUUUCUGGAUCUCUCAGGUGCCUGCUUCGCUGGUUCCCUUUCCAGCAGCGUCCCCACCUCGAGCCGCCCCCUCCUCUGGAAGCCUCUCCUGCCGCUGUCGAGUUCUCCUCCACGUGUGCCACCCCCUCACCCGGCUGUUGUUUACAUCCAGCCUGCCGAGAGUUUCCUCUGGGGAGGAGCGUGUUCCUGCUGUGGCCUGGCACUGGAGGGAGAGGACUGCCCGGGAGGGGCAUCUCCAUCUGAGAUCCCCGAGCGGCCCUCCUGUCCACCUCUCCUGAGGAAGGGGAGCUGGCCUGUGGGUCCUCCUUGGGCCUGCUGUGGUCCUUCUCACCCCACACCUGCUCUGAGAUCCUCUUUUGAAAGCACUUUCAAAAGUCCUUGAGGGCAGCCCAGGGCAGACCUGGGAGUCGAUACGGGACUCCAGCGGAGAGCUGUAGCCUCUGGUCUACUGGGGGGUGCUUGCUCUCCCUGGCCCGGAGUUCCGGCUCCAGCGACUCACCAGCACGCUGCCACCAACAGAGGCAGAUGGGGCUGGGUCAUCUCCGAUCACCAGAAACUGCUGGGCCUGGGCAAGCAGUGUUUCCACCGAAACUGGUGAUCAGCAACCCGAGGGCGGCUGGCAAGUUGAAGUUAUUAAAAA